rnacentral:lncRNA from 1 species
UGGUGCAAUGGCAUAACACGUGCCUCUGUUUGCUUGUUUCUCUCAAAGGCCAGGGGUUCAAAUCCCACUAUGUUCUAUUUAAUAAAUGCAGGCAGGAGCUAACUAAACUCUGUCUCUGCAUCAAGAAAUAUACUUUGAUGUAGUAUACUUUGCAUAUUUGCCCUUUCCCAUGUAAUGGUGUAGGAGAGUGAUGGUGAUGGUGAGUGUCUGUCUCUGCAUCAAGAAAUAUACUUUGAUGUAGUAUACUUUGCAUAUUUGCCCUUUCCCAUGUAAUGGUGUAGGAGAGUGAUGGUGAUGGUGAGUGCAGGGCGGGCCUGGGCG